UGGGGAAUCUUCCGCAAUGGACGAAAGUCUGACGGAGCAACGCCGCGUGAGUGAUGACGGCCUUCGGGUUGUAAAGCUCUGUUAAUCGGGACGAAUGGUUCUUGUGCGAAUAGUGCAAGGAUUUGACGGUACCGGAAUAGAAAGCCACGGCUAACUACGUGCCAGCAGCCGCGGUAAUACGUAGGUGGCAAGCGUUGUCCGGAAUUAUUGGGCGUAAAGCGCGCGCAGGCGGAUUGGUCAGUCUGUCUUAAAAGUUCGGGGCUUAACCCCGUGAUGGGAUGGAAACUGCCAAUCUAGAGAAUCGGAGAGGAAAGUGGAAUUCCUAGUGUAGCGGUGAAAUGCGUAGAUAUUAGGAAGAACACCAGUGGCGAAGGCGACUUUCUGGACGAAAACUGACGCUGAGGCGCGAAAGCCAGGGGAGCGAACGGG
rnacentral:rRNA from 1 species